rnacentral:rRNA from 1 species
UACGUAGGUGGCAAGCGUUGUCCGGAUUUACUGGGCGUAAAGAGCGCGCAGGCGGUCGUUCAAGUCGCGUGUGAAAGCCCCCGGCUCAACUGGGGAGGGUCACGCGAUACUGAUCGACUCGAAGGCAGGAGAGGGAAGUGGAAUUCCCGGUGUAGUGGUGAAAUGCGUAGAUAUCGGGAGGAACACCAGUGGCGAAGGCGGCCUUCUGGACCAGUACUGACGCUCAUGCACGAAAGCGUGGGGAGCAAACAGG